GUUCACACCACCAAAAAUGCAGUAUCUUUAGCCAAAUCUGAAUUAAUCUGUUCAGAAUGAACAAGCAGAAUAGUCUUUGGAUUUGAUCCAAAUCCCUGAAGCACUUUGGGAAUGAGAAUGGCUAUGCCAGACAGAGAGACCCUGGCGACUUAUGAUACUGCAGAACACAACAGGCACUUCAGAUUGGUCCCAGUCCUCUACGUACUGAUAUAUAUAUAGAUGCCUAAACCAAAUGGACCUCAUUUCCUUUAAAAUUCUGAUAUCCAAAAUAAGCA
rnacentral:lncRNA from 1 species